rnacentral:rRNA from 1 species
GACGAACGCUGGCGGCGUGCUUAACACAUGCAAGUCGAGCGGUAAGGCCCUUUCGGGGGUACACGAGCGGCGAACGGGUGAGUAACACGUGGGUGACCUGCCCUCAGCUCUGGGAUAAGCCUGGGAAACCGGGUCUAAUACUGGAUAUGACUCCAUGACGCAUGUUGUGGGGUGGAAAGCCUUGUGCGGCUGAGGAUGGGCCCGCGGCCUAUCAGCUUGUUGGUGGGGUGAUGGCCUACCAAGGCGACGAC